rnacentral:lncRNA from 1 species
UCUAGUGUAAGUAAAGACAUAGCUCUUGUGUGCCUAGUGAUCAUAUCAACUAGAAUUGUUGGAUAGGUGGCUUGCAAACACCCCUUUAGAGCUAGAGCAAAAAGCUUCGCUUUGUUAUUUACUAACCUCUUGCUCUAGUGUUUUUGUAGAAUUUUUAAAUAGGCUAUUCACCCCCUCUCUAGCCAUAGGACCUUUCACCAGACUCCACCAAGUGAAGGAUCUAGAUCUACAAGCACAAACAUACUGAGUAGGAUGCUGCCAACGCCGCACUUUGAACUGCUGGGCAAACGAAGAACAUAGGUGACACCGUAUCAAGAGGUGCAGACGUCAAGGUCCACACCUGAAUCAGAUAAUGCACCUAAAGAAUGAACACGGUGAGAAGUCUUGUUCAGAAGACUUAAAACAUUAAACCCUCACCAAAAGGUAAAAUCGGUAGUUAUCCAUAUUUAUCCUUUCUGCAUUCCCUUUUCCCUUAAAUUAUUUACUUUCAUUAAAUGGCUUGUUAGUUAAUCAUGCCAUCUUGAAAAGAAAAUAACUCUGUUAAAAAAGGUAAGCCCCAUGUGAGUAUGGUCAUGGCAUAAAACCCAUAAGUACAUUCACUGUGGUGGCGUAAAAAUAAAAUAAAUAUAUUCCUGUCCUAUAAAAAUGAAAAUAUAAAAAUAAGAUUGUGAUCCUACUAAAGAGAGUAACAUUUAUUGAGAAGGCUCAACAUGAUAAAGGCUAGAUACUUAUGCUAACACUUAACUAGUUCCACAAAGCUUUGUUGUCUAUUUGAGAUCCACAGAAUUCAAGGAUCAAAGAAGACUAGCAGACGAAGGACAUCCUAAUCGUUGUCACAGUGCUGCCAACAUUCAAAUACACCUCCGCCACCUGCUAGCUACAUCAGAAGAAAUUACCUCAAAAUCUAGCUUGGGGAGAGCACCCCCAUUUAUCCAGCUAAGUGUUCUACUCACGUUUAUACUUUACUCAAAUAAUAAAAAGAUGCAUAAUCAUAAAAACCUAAAUAAAGAUUUUGUGCAUAUAUAUAUAUAUAUCUUUGCUUAGUUUGCUAAAUAAAUAAAUAAAGUUUGCUAUGAACCCUCAUGAUAAGCUCUCACAUGGAAAUGAUGAAUAGUUGCUCUGCCAUGACUAGUUCUCAAAAUUGAAAUCUCUCUCAAAUUUAGGCAUGACUGUUAUUAACUAAGAUUUGCUCUAAACCUGAACUUGUGGGAUGAAUACUUGAUCUAAAGUCUAAGUCGUUAAUGGAUACGAUAUGGGAAGGUUGAGCUGUUGUUUAUCUGUUCCUAGAGAUGCUAGAAUUCUGGAGAAUUUUAUCUUUGAAAAUCUUUAAAAUGUUGCAUGAUGAGUUUCUGUAUGAUGAGAGUUUCAAAUACUACCACAACCAUAUAUACAUGCUUAUUAGACUAUGAAACAUACAUUUACUUUUUACUGCUUAUGAGCAUUGAGUGUGGUCAAGCUGUGUAGACCCUUAGGAGCUUGUCAUGCGGUUAAAAUCAAGAUUCACUUGCACGUUCACUCAUACAUGCUGCUUCUACUUCGAAAGUACGCAUCCACAUACAUCCACUCAUUUCCAUAUCCAGAUUCACCCAAAAUUAUUCUACUCCUAUUUAGGAGAGAAUAGCCAAAAACAUUAUCCUAUCCCUGUUAUUCCCCGUGAAAUAAAUGAUCAAGAUAUUUCGGUUACUACUACUUGCUACAUUAUUCUAGGAGGGUGAGUGCUCUGAAAAAAAGUGAAUACAAGGAAAUAAAAAGGGGCAAGUGCCCGAAACCUCGAAAAAAGAGAAAACAAGAAAAAGUGAGACGAGAGGUAAAAAUGGACAACCGUCCUACAGUAGAAUUAGGGGUACAAGAUACCCACCUGAGAGAAAAGAAAAAUAAAAUAUAGAGCAUCUCAUUCCCCUCAAAAGCCUCAAGUGCAAGGAAGGUAUGUAUCCCCUCAAAAGAGCAAAAGUAGAAUUAGACUUUCACCAUUAUUUUCAUCAUUAUCACCAUUCAUUUGCCACACAUGCACAUCUUGAUUUGAUUUAUUGACUUGUUCUUCUAGAUCCAUGGUUUGACUAUGCAAUAAAUGUCUUGCAAGUAUGUAUUAGCUGUCUCCCACCUAUGAGUUCCAGAUAUCAAAACCUUAUUAGAGUAGGGUGAGAGAGAAGGCAAUGCGACUAUGCCUCAUACCAAAAAUACCACAUACUUUGAGAGAAGGCAUACACCAUUACUGCCUUGGUAAGGAUCUAGAAAUACCACAAAAGAGAGACUAGAGAGAGUCAUACAAGGAAUCUCUAAGUUUUAUUUGAAAAUCUGCAAAAACUCAAGAGCUAUAGUUAAUCAAAGAACAAGAGGCAUGGCGCUUGACUAGACCAUUCUGUCUUUUAACUGCUCAAGACACAAGUGAUGGUUGCAAGCCCCAUGGUGGAAGGAAAAAUGAGUAAGUUCAAAUCUAACAGUUUACCCUAACCCAGAGAUGAGAUCUUGUUUGAACGCAUGUGUACCUUUAAGGCAUGAAACCACUGCAGAAACUCUUGAGUCCAUCCUUGCUCAGGGACGAGCAAAGGUUAAGCUUGGGGGAGCUUGUUGACGGUCCUUAAUGCUCACAUUUAACCAUCAAGUAAUCCUGGAAAACGAUCCAAAUUGCAAUUGACACCUAGACUUAGGAUUUUAUUUCACAGAAUUCCACGAGUUUUGGUGUUUGUCUAUUUCUGCAUGGGGUUAUCAGGAAAUAUGGAGGAAAGGCCCACACAUCGGGUUUACAUAGAGAUAUUAACGUGUGCGCCAAUUUUCUAUCAUCUAGAAGACACUAGAAGCCACGGGAGCGAACGGGAGGCCGAGCGGGCCUGGGGGCAGGGCGCCCGCCCUCCCCCCUUCGGCGCCCGCCCUGCCCUGGUGACCAAUUAGGGUAGGUCUCGCGGAUCAUGCUCCACCGCCUUUGAGGAUCAAGGAAAACCGUGCGAUUAAGGUCGGUUUGAUCUGACGGCCC